UAGGGAAUCUUCCGCAAUGGACGCAAGUCUGACGGAGCAACGCCGCGUGAGUGAAGAAGGAUUUCGGUUCGUAAAACUCUGUUGUUAGAGAAGAACAGCGCAUAGAGUAACUGUUAUGCGUGUGACGGUAUCUAACCAGAAAGCCACGGCUAACUACGUGCCAGCAGCCGCGGUAAUACGUAGGUGGCAAGCGUUGUCCGGAUUUAUUGGGCGUAAAGCGAGCGCAGGCGGUCAAUUAAGUCUGAUGUGAAAGCCCCCGGCUCAACCGGGGAGGGUCAUUGGAAACUGGUUGACUUGAGUGCAGAAGAGGAGAGUGGAAUUCCAUGUGUAGCGAUGAAAUGCGUAGAUAUAUGGAGGAACACCAGUGGAGAAGGCGACUCUCUGGUAUGUAACUGACGCUGAGGCUCGAAAGCGUGGGUAGCAAACAGG
rnacentral:rRNA from 1 species